rnacentral:tRNA from 1 species
GCCUGGGUGGCUUAGUAGGUUAAGCAUCUGACUUCAGCUCAGGUCAUGAUCUCACGGUUUAUGAGUUUGAGCCCCGUCUCAGGCU